rnacentral:tRNA from 1 species
CAGUAGCUCAAUGGUAGAGCAGCUGACUCUUAAUCAGCGGGUUGGGGGUUCGAGUCCCUCCUG